AUACGUAUGGUGCAAGCGUUAUCCGGAUUUACUGGGCGUACAGUGCGCGUAGGCGGCCCUGUAAGUCUGGAGUGAAAGUCCUGUUUUUAAGAUGGGAAUUGCUUUGGAUACUGUCGGGCUUGAGCGCAGGGGAGUGAAGUGGAAUUCCCAGUGUAGCGGUGAUAUGCGUAGAGAUUGGGAGGAACACCAGUGUCGAAGGCGACUUACUGGACUGUAACUGACGCUGAGGCGCGAAAGUGUGGUGAGCAAACAGGAUUAGAUACCCUGGUAGUCCACACUGUAAACGAUGAAUGCUAGGUGUAGGGGGUAUCGACCCCUUCUGUGCCGCAGUCAACACAAUAAGCAUUCCGCCUGGGGAGUACGGCCGCAAGGUUGAAACUCAAAGGAAUUGACGGGG
rnacentral:rRNA from 1 species